GUAGAGGCCAUAGAACAAGGACACAAUGCCGAAAUCCAUGGAAUCUUUCGCUUUGAUUCUGUUGGAAGCAAGAGUACGGUGGAAUGAGAAUACGGCGUUUGCAGGCCCUAGAGUACCCUGAGCUGUGGGGGCCCUGAACCUCUAGCACCACCUGGUGAAAUUUCAUCUCAGGAAACUGGCCCUCCUGCAGCCAGGCAACCUCUCCUCUCCAGCACAAUGACACAUAAAGGGGAUUCAGGAUGAUUCCAGAACAACAGUGCUCUGCAGGACCAUGUUUUACCUUGAUGAGAUUUGGGUCUUGCCCAUAGAAAAACGGGGAGAACAUCCACUUUGGAGGCACAUGAUAAGCACUUGGAAAAGAUGUGUGAAGGAUACAAUGGAAUUAUAUAGACCACAAGAAGUGGACCGUGAUAAUUAGAGUAAUCCUUUAAAUAUCAGAGCUUCUUUAUCCUUUCAACUCUUGCUCUAUUUAAAAAUGUAAAUGACUCAACUUCCACCAGAAGGGAACAAAAUAUGAGCUAAAAUAAACAUGCAAAUAGUGCUUUUA